rnacentral:rRNA from 2 species
GGUGAGGUAAUGGCUCACCAAGGCGACGAUCCGUAACUGGUCUGAGAGGAUGAUCAGUCACACUGGAACUGAGACACGGUCCAGACUCCUACGGGAGGCAGCAGUGGGGAAUAUUGGACAAUGGGCGAAAGCCUGAUCCAGCCAUGCCGCGUGUGUGAAGAAGGUCUUCGGAUUGUAAAGCACUUUAAGUUGGGAGGAAGGGUUGUAGAUUAAUACUCUGCAAUUUUGACGUUACCGACAGAAUAAGCACCGGCUAACUCUGUGCCAGCAGCCGCGGUAAUACAGAGGGUGCAAGCGUUAAUCGGAAUUACUGGGCGUAAAGCGCGCGUAGGUGGUUCGUUAAGUUGGAUGUGAAAUCCCCGGGCUCAACCUGGGAACUGCAUUCAAAACUGUCGAGCUAGAGUAUGGUAGAGGGUGGUGGA